UGAAUGAACAUCAUUGAGUGCAUCGUUGAUGUAAUUUUACUUAUUUUAUUCCAUUGUUGAAUUAAUUAAAGAAGUAUAUAUCAGCGUUGCAUUCAAUUAUGUUUUUC
rnacentral:pre_miRNA from 14 species